GAAUAUUAAACGGGAGUCACGAGCUAGAAUGGCAACGCCAAUCCACAUAGUCAAUAGCUGAUGCUGGAAUUAGCAGCUUCCGAGGACUGAGAUCAAGCUCUAGAGAUCUAAUUGAAUCCGUGGAGGAUAUGUUGAGCCCCAUCAGCUCUGCUACGAGGAAGCUAAGUCAACACAGCGGGGAAAUUUCCGAAACUAAAGAUGCAACAUAUGUCAGAGAGCUGAAAUUGCAUAGAAGGCUGACCUGGAUUUGGAUUUCUUCAGAAGUUCCCAUUGUACCUUAUGCAGGGUGGGUUUUCCUUUCCAGAAAUAUCAGCAAGAUUCUGUAUUGGCUUCAGCUCUUAUCUGCGAUAGCCUGCAUUAUCCUUUCAUUGAUGAAGCUCCUCGAGCACAAUUUUGGUGAGGUCACUGAAGGAGACACUGUCGAGAGGCACUGAAAAGCUGCUCUGUGUACCUUUUAUGCCUUAGCUUUGGCAGAUGCUCUGGUCGUCUUGGCAGAGAAAGUUUACUGGCAGUGGAAGGUUGUCA
rnacentral:lncRNA from 1 species